UGGGGUAUAGCUCAGUGGCAAAGUGCUUGCCUAGCAAGUACAACAUCCUGGGUUCAAUCCCCGGUACCAAAA
rfam:Dipodomys ordii contig_24212, whole genome shotgun sequence.